GAUGAACGCUGGCGGCGUGCCUAAUACAUGCAAGUCGAGCGAACAGACGAGGAGCUUGCUCCUCUGACGUUAGCGGCGGACGGGUGAGUAACACGUGGAUAACCUACCUCUAAUACUGGGAUAACUUCGGGAAACCGGAGCUAAUACCGGAUAACAUGUUGAACCGCAUGGUUCAACAGUGAAAGACGGUCUUGCCGUCACUUAUAGCUGGAUCCGCGCGGCCUUAGCUAGUUGGUAAGGUAACGGCUGACCAAGGCAACGAUGCGGGGCCGACCUGAGAGGGUGAUCGGCCACACUGGAACUGAGACACGGUCCAGACUCCUACGGGAGGCAGCAGUAGGGAAUCUUGCGCAAUGGGCGAAAGCCUGACGGAGCAACGCCGCGUGAGUGAAGAAGGUCUUCGGAUCGUAAAGCUCUGUUAUUAGGGAAGAACAAAUGUGGAAGUAACUAUGCACGUCUUGACGGUACCUAAUCAGAAAGCCACGGCUAACUACGUG
rnacentral:rRNA from 1 species